UUUGAACAUCCAUAUCAUUGGGAGUCUGCCAGAGAGAAGUGUGCUGAUGAUCAUGUUAAGACAGAAACUGAAGAAAACCUGAAUAAAUAUUCAGUCCAAUUUGAUGAUUUAUUCAAGAAAGCUUGGGAAGAAGAUGCUAGUGAGCAAGCUUGGCAAGAAGAUGCUAGCAAACAACCGGGAAGUGAUGGUGAAUUUUUUAGUGCAAACAGCCAUCAGAUAGCUGUUCUCUCAUAAGGUCAGUUAAAGCAAAGAGCGAGGCCAUUAAUGUUGUUCAUGAAGCUGAAACCUCUAAUGUUAUUCCUGAAGCUGAAAAUUCUUUCGAUCAGAUAUUAUUGAAUGAGUCGGAGAAAAUCAUAGAGAAGUUUAAUGGAUUAGGUGAUGACAGCAAGAAGAAUGGAGGAGAGGCUGGGGCUCUUGUUGGUGGAACUGAAGAGAUCGUGGGCCGCUUCUAUGAACUUGUGCGGAACAUGGCAGUUGACUAUCCAAUAGGAGGCGAUAUAUUUUCUCGAGAGGGGUGAUUCUAUUUUUGUAGCAGCUCAUACCUAGGCUGGAAAACAGUUGUUGCAGAGUAUGCAUUUGCUUUCGCUUCAAAACAUUGCUCCCGGGCUGGCUAUACUGCUCCUAUCAAAACCAUCAGUAAUCAGAACUACAGAGAUUUCUGUGGAAAGUUUGAUGUCGGCCUUCUUACAGGAGAUGUAAGCAUAAUGACUGAGGCAUCCUGCCUUAUGACUAUCAAAAAUUUAAGGUCGAUGCUUUACCGAGGUGCUGAUAUUAUUCGCAACAUUGAAUGGGUUAUAUUUUGACGAAGUGCAUUACGUGAAUGAUGCUGACAGCGGUGUAGUCUGGGAAGAAAUUAUCAUAAUGUUGCCAAGACAUGCCAAUAUUGUACUCCUUUCGGCAACGGUAUUGACGUUUGCUUUUCUUGGAUCAUUACUUGUUCUAAUUGAGGUUCAUCUCUAGUGUAGAUAUGUUUUUCUAGUGUUUUUCAGGUUGUUUGGCAGGAAUUUUUAUAUUAUGGCCUCUUACUUAUUUGUUAUUCAAAGUGAAAUGUGGCAUCAUCAUCU